UCUUUCUCUGUUUCGUAGUCCGUGGUCGAAAACCAUUGAAAACUUACUUAUAUGUGAUGGAAAAUAAUUCUCUAGAAAACUUUACUAUUUUAUUACGAAACAUCAGUUAUUUAUGACUAGUUCCGUUAUUAUGAGUGAGGAUAGGAAAGAUGACAUUUUGAUCCGUUUUGUUAAAAAUUCAAAAGUUCUAAUCAUUCUGUCAUCGCCCGGUAACGCAUUAUUAAAACCUCUAUAGCUUUUGAGCUGUAUCCAAACGCGGUUCUUUCAUUGAUCGGU